UACGUAGGGUGCAAGCGUUAAUCGGAAUUACUGGGCGUAAAGCGUGCGCAGGCGGUUUUGUAAGUCUGACGUGAAAUCCCCGGGCUCAACCUGGGAAUUGCGUUGGAGACUGCAAGGCUAGAAUCUGGCAGAGGGGGGUAGAAUUCCACGUGUAGCAGUGAAAUGCGUAGAGAUGUGGAGGAACACCGAUGGCGAAGGCAGCCCCCUGGGUCAAGAUUGACGCUCAUGCACGAAUGCGUGGGGAGCAAACAGG
rnacentral:rRNA from 1 species